UACAGAGGGUGCGAGCGUUGUCCGGAAUCACUGGGCGUAAAGGGCGCGUAGGCGGCCUGAUAAGUAGGGGGUGAAAUCCUGUGGCUUAACUGCAGGGCUGCCUCCUAGACUGUUAGGCUCGAGCACGGUAGAGGCAGAUGGAAUUCCCGGUGUAGCGGUGGAAUGCGUAGAGAUCCGGAAGAACACCGGUGGCGAAGGCGGUCGACUGGGCCAGUACUGACGCUGAGGCGCGAAAGCGUGGGGAGCGAACAGG
rnacentral:rRNA from 1 species